CAGGGAGACAAAACCUGAUCGUGAUGUCUGAGUAUUUUAAUCUCAGGCCAUGAUCCUGUCAUCUCGAAGGUCGAUCGGUACCUCAAUUUCAAGGAUCAGAUGAUCAGCUAACUUGUUUAGUCGAUCAUGCUGAGAACUUGAUCUUUAGUUCCUAAACGUUGUCUAGGUCACCCCAUAGAGGGUUCACUUCCUGGGCCAUUAGCUCAGGUGGUUAGAGCGCACCCCUGAUAAGGGUGAGGUCCCUGGUUCAAGUCCAGGAUGGCCCAUUCAAACUCAGUUUGAUUUCAACGCCUUGAUAAGUCAUUGACUUGUCUUUUAAAGAGGAUUGAGAUGAGACUGGUCUUGGGGGUUUAGCUCAGUUGGUAGAGCGCCUGCUUUGCAAGCAGGAUGUCAGCGGUUCGAGUCCGCUAACCUCCACUAACAUCUGAACUCCAAACCAGGAAGCGAUUCUUGGCUGGUGACGU
rnacentral:tRNA from 1 species